rnacentral:tRNA from 1 species
GCCGAGGUGGUGGAAUUGGUAGACACGCCAUCUUGAGGGGGUGGUGGGCUCCGCCCGUGGGGGUUCGAAUCCCCCCCUCGGCACCA